GAUGAACGCUGGCGGCGUGCCUAAUACAUGCAAGUCGAGCGAACGGACGAUAAGCUUGCUUCUCUGAUGUUAGCGGCGGACGGGUGAGUAACACGUGGAUAACCUACCUAUAAGACUGGGAUAACUUCGGGAAACCGGAGCUAAUACCGGCUAAUAUUUUGAACCGCAUGGUUCAAAAGUGAAAGACGGUCUUGCUGUCACUUAUAGAUGGAUCCGCGCUGCAUUAGCUAGUUGGUAAGGUAACGGCUUACCAAGGCAACGAUGCAUAGCCGACCUGAGAGGGUGAUCGGCCACACUGGAACUGAGACACGGUCCAGACUCCUACGGGAGGCAGCAGUAGGGAAUCUUCCGCAAUGGGCGAAAGCCUGACGGAGCAACGCCGCGUGAGUGAUGAAGGUCUUCGGAUCGUAAAACUCUGUUAUUAGGGAAGAACAUAUGUGUAAGUAACUGUGCACAUCUUGACGGUACCUAAUCAGAAAGCCACGGCUAACUACGUG
rnacentral:rRNA from 1 species